rnacentral:rRNA from 1 species
AAACCAACAGGGAUUGCCUUAGUAGCGGCGAGUGAAGCGGCAAAAGCUCAAAUUGAAAUCUGGCGCUUUCAGAGUCCGAGUUGUAAUUUGAAGAAGGUAUCUUUGGGUCUGGCUCUUGUCUAUGUUUCUUGGAACAGAACGUCACAGAGGGUGAGAAUCCCGUGCGAUGAGAUGACCCAGGCCUAUGUAAAGUUCCUUCGAAGAGUCGAGUUGUUUGGGAAUGCAGCUCUAAGUGGGUGGUAAAUUCCAUCUAAAGCUAAAUAUUGGCGAGAGACCGAUAGCGAACAAGUACAGUGAUGGAAAGAUGAAAAGAACUUUGAAAAGAGAGUGAAAAAGUACGUGAAAUUGUUGAAAGGGAAGGGCUUGAGAUCAGACUUGGUAUUUUGUAUGUUACUUCCUCGGGGGUGGCCUCUACAGUUUAUCGGGCCAGCAUCAGUUUGGGCGGUAGGAGAAUUGCGUUGGAAUGUGGCACGGCUUCGGUUGUGUGUUAUAGCCUUCGUCGAUACUGCCAGCCUAGACUGAGGACUGCGGUUUUAUACCUAGGAUGUUGGCAUAA